rnacentral:lncRNA from 1 species
GAUGUCCCAAGCAGGCUCAUAAAAUGACAGAGUACGUUUUGAAUUGUUUGUAUCAAUGUGCAUGAGAUGUUACAUCUUGGAAAACAUUCAGUGCCUUGAGUCUAUGGACAGGACCUGCGGAGAGACCUACUACAGACCUACCACAGGCUCACUUGAGCUUGGAGUGAUCUGUGUGUGGUCAGCUGUAUCCUCAGUUAUGUGAGACCUACUUGUUCUGGGUGUACACAGAGAGACAGCAGUCAGACCCAGGGUGUCUGUCAAGGUGGACGGCAUCACAAGUAACCGACAGCGGUCACCCCAGGGAUGAAUAUGGAUAUCUGUGGAUGUACAGCUAUAGGCUUCUGCACCCUAAGCACUGCAGUUAGCCAAGAACAUCAUGCUUUACAGAUCUGAGCACCUUGGGCAGAAAUUCUCCUUUAUGUGCCAGAAGUCAUGAAACCAAAGGCAGAAAUCAGCAAGAGGAGACCAGGCACCUCAGGCUGUUUGCCGCGUUAAUCUUCAGAACCCAUUAAGACCCAGGAGUAUGUUUACAAGACUUUCAAGUUUCCCAGCCCUGUGAGAAGGAUUGGGAAACACAUGGGCCCAGCACGUUCAGCCCUAAACCACGCACCCCGAGGUGCUGAGUUGUCUUACCGUAGAAGCCUGAGAGGCAUUCUGCCAUUAAAAAAAUGUUCAGAAAGAGGAAAAAUAUGGGAAAAAGGAAAAAGUGAGGAAGAGAAGAUGGGAAUGAGAAAGGAAGGAAGAAAGGAAGGAAUCACAGAAUCACAGAAUGGCCUGGGUUGAAAGGGACCUCAAGGAUCAUGAAUCUCCAAACCCCCUGCCGGGCAGGGCCACCAACCUCCCUAUUUACUAGAUCAGGUUGCCCAGGGCCUCAUCCAACCCGGCCUUGAACACCUCCAGGGACGGGGCAUCCACAACCUCUCUGGGCAGCCCAUUCCAGCACCUCACCACUCUCCUGGUAAAGAACUUCCCCCUAACAUCCAACCUAAAUCUUCCCUCUUUCAACUUAAAACCGUUCCCCCUUGUCCUGCUGUUGAAGGAAAGGAGGAAGGAACAGAAGAACACAUAUGGACAAAAUUCAUGUCUCAUAUGCUGAAAACUAUUUGGCUCAUACUGUCAUUUUCAAACAAGAACUCUUAAAUUUUAUUGUACAUAACGAUGUCUUCCUGCAAAGCUCCAAAAGUAAUUGCUAGGCAUCACAGGUAUCAUUUACAAAGCAUGUGCAAUGAUCUGCAACAUCUACUUAGUCUGCAGCAUUCAAAAGUCAAACUCCUUGUUAAGUUGGAUGCUGAAUUGAAGGUCCCAUGAUUGCAAUUUAAUCUCUCUUCGUUGAUAGUCUACUUUGCUUCCCAUAAGUGAACUGGUCUCCAACUUCUACAUUGAAAGGCUAACAGAAACUUGUUCAAAUUUUGUUUGUUUCUCUGAAAGAUAAGUACUGUUUCUAGUAGGAUUUGUGCACCUGAGCACUGGAUACAAUCCAGGUUUGGAAAUCUAUGUUUAAUGGGGUCUUUUUAGAUUUAGAUUUUUUUCAUUUGGAAUCAGAACUAUAGAAGAUGUUCUGCAAAACAUUUCAAAAUCAUUGUUUGUACUCUGAAAAAUAUGCAAUUUUACUUCCUUUAUUUCAGUAUUCUUUGGUUAUAUUUACUCAGUUCAUGAAGUCAUAGCAUGGCAUAUCAUAAUUUCUGUUAAUUUAAAGAUAAAUGAGAUCUGUACUCACACUGAUUUUAUUUGCACAUCUUUUCUAGAUUAGAAUCUCCUGUUUAUCCUAUAGUGAAGUGGCUUACAAAAAAUCCAGUAUCAUUUAGAGAUGAAGGCAAAUAGUAUACAAAUUAGGACCAUAUUUUCAGUAUCAUUUUG